rnacentral:rRNA from 1 species
UUCGGAUUGUAGUCUGCAACCCGACUACAUGAAGCUGGAAUCGCUAGUAAUCGCGGAUCAGAAUGCCGCGGUGAAUACGUUCCCGGGUCUUGCACACACCGCCCGUCACACCAUGGGAGUCGGAAAUGCCCGAAGUCUGUGACCUAACCGUAAGGAAGGAGCAGCCGAAGGCAGGUCGGAUGACUGGGGUGAAGUCGUAACAAGGUACC